GACGAAUGCUGGCGGCGUGCUUAACACAUGCAAGUCGAACGGAAAGGCCCUGCUUGCCGGGUACUCGAGUGGCGAACGGGUGAGUAACACGUGGGUGAUCUGCCCUGCACUUCGGGAUAAGCCUGGGAAACUGGGUCUAAUACCGGCUAGGAGCCAUUUUUAGUGUGAUGGUUGGAUAGUUUUUUCGGUGUAGGCUGAUCCCGCGGCCUAUCAGCUUGUUGGUGGGGUAAUGGCCUACCAAGGCGGCGACGGGUAGCCGGCCUGAGAGGGUGGACGGCCACAUUGGGACUGAGAUACGGCCCAGACUCCUACGGGAGGCAGCAGUGGGGAAUAUUGCGCAAUGGGCGCAAGCCUGAUGCAGCGACGCCGCGUGGGGGAUGACGGCCUUCGGGUUGUAAACUCCUUUCGCUAGGGACGAAGCUUUUGUGACGGUACCUAGAUAAGAAGCACCGGCUAACUACGUG
rnacentral:rRNA from 1 species